rfam:Rheinheimera sp. F8 genome.
CUUCCUGACUUGGGGGAGUAAUCGCCAUAAGCACCCUGCUUAUGGGUUGCCGUCAACAUACUUGUGCCAAUGCACAUGGCGGCAGCGGGACUUGCAACAGCAAUGUUCUGAUGAGACCUGAGACAGCGUCGUGGCCCAAUGCGGGAGCCACAACGUUGUCUUUGGCUUAAUCCCGCUGAGUACC